ACUAUACAACAUCUCAUGAUGCACUGUGCAACCAAUCACAUCGCUCCCAGCGACCUAAUGAAUAAUGUCCAUACAUUACAACAGUUUAACUCAAUUCACCCUGAGUGAAUUAUUGUCGCACUGCGCGACCAAAAACAUCGCUCCCAGCGAUCUAAUAAAAUAAUGUGCAUACACAACAUUUCAAACUCAUCUGUAACUCAUAUCACUCUGCGUGACAAAAUCAUCUCGCUGCGACAAGAUAAAUACAUUUCAUAUGAAAUAUACAUUAACUAAAAUCAACUAACAGUACCAACACGUGACUGUUAAAAGGCUGUUUUGCAAAAAUACUGUUGUCAUGUGAUCCAGCCACAAAAAAGUUUUUCGGAUUUUUAUAUUCUCU
rnacentral:lncRNA from 1 species